AUUGUAGAACAGGUCCACUUCCUCCACAUCCUAACAACUUUUCUCUUCAACUACCUCUGCUUGGAUGGUGGGCUAUUGAAAGUAGGUCACAACAAAAUUUAUGUCUACCGGUCUUAAAUGAAGACGUUUGCCCCCUGAAUCUCAAUCUACCUUCUUUUCUUCCUGUGCACAACCUCCAGUUCUAGGGAGCACUACUACACUGUGAUGUCUCCAUUCUGAUUCUAUCUUUACCAAACUGUCUUCAUUUCCCUCGUGGGCCAGGUGAUCACUCAUUGUCUGCCUCUUCCUUAAAGCAUCUGCCUUAGACAUUGAGCCUCCUCAUCAGGACAUCUGGCCCUGAACAAACCUGACUGACAGUUGCUGGAGAUACACAGCCUGCUCCUCAAAGCUGGAGAAAGAACAAAUGGGGCUACUGAUGCUCACAGGUUCUUGGGUGCCAGUGACCAUUGCAGAAUUAAGCUUGGUAGUUUGGAAGCAGAUUCCAGGUGGAAAGAGGGACACAUGAAACCAGUUCCAAGGUUCCUUCAUAAUGAAGUAUCGGUGGUGGGAGAUGAUUAUGUUGGCAGAGAAAGUACUUAAAAUAACACUUGGAUCUGCAACUCGAAGAACAUCAACAGGAUAAUUCACACAUGGGCUCAUUUCCUCCUUGCUGGUUAUUAGCCAGAAAUACAGCUCAGCAUAUGGCUUCUUAUGCUGCUAGUUGGGAGAGAGCAGAAUGUAAUCCAGGGAUGAACGAGUGUUGUCUCAUCCAGCGCUCAGCCCACCUACCUUCCAGGAACUGAAGUUUAGCCUGUCAUUCUGCUGUGAGUCUGAGAGGCUGAUAGGGUGGGGACAGACUGCACCUAUGGGGUGUCAUCAUUGCAGGGGUGACAGAAGCUUGAAACAAGCUUCAGUCUUUAUCAUGUAUGCUCUAGGGCAUGUAAGGGGCAAUGCCAUUCUGGUUGACAUGGUUUUGGGGACAUAGAAUAGAAGUUCUCUGUUUUGUCCACUGAAAAUUCUGGGCAUUGGGUAUGAGACAGAAGGAGACCCAGCAAGGCGAAAAGAGACAGACAGCCAGGACCUGAGGACCACCAAGAUGUCAGGGAAUUCUUUCUAUUAUGUCCCCUCCAGCAGUUAUGAGGAGCCCAUCCUGCUUUGGGUGUAAGAUGAGACUAAGUGGGUAGCCUCUACUUCUAUUUGGAUAUCACAGUAGCAAGGGGGACAUUUUCUGCUUUUGAUAAUCAUUUUUACACGUCACCUUUGGGCUCUAUAUCUCUUAGGUUGUGCUUCCCAGAGAAACAGACCUCUUUCGAUGUGUUCAGAUGACUUUUUUUUUUUUUUAAUAUCAUGGUGAAAAACUGUGAGCUCCUCUGUGUCACCAUUUUCCCCGAGAGCAGAGGUAGAACUUAGUAUCAUCUUGGAGUUAGAGUCUAACCCUUCGUGCUUAGUUUAACAUCUGGACACGAGGUACUUAACAGCUGCAAGUAGGAUCCUCCUGAGAUCUGUUGAGAUAAUGCAAGGUGCUCUAGCUUGGGAGACAGGCCUCACAGAGAUAACGCCAGACGUUGGCAAGUGUUCUGUUAGUAGGGAUGAAACCUGCCUCAGGGUGGUAGGGGAAGUUGUGACAGACAGUCUAGUCCCAGUCUCUCCAAAUCCCAGAAACUUUGUUCCCUGGGUACCUACAGAGGCCAGGGAAUGACUCUUGGAGAUCACGUUAGCAAGGAAAUGGUGGAUGAAUCAGAUUGAUCAUUGACUAAUUUAUAUCAAAAGAAGUGCGCUGAAGGGCUGGUGUCAAUCUUGCUGGGGGGAAGCCUGUGUUUUAGAGGCGGGCUCUACUGUUGCUGGGUGCUCAGGGAGAGACUCACCUCACCUAAAGUCUCCAGUUUCACUAUAGAAAAGUUUCUUCUCUGGGGACCAGGAAAUGAUGUUGAUAUUCAAGUUCUUCUCUGUGGAAAAACGAUGUGGCUGGGGCCAGAGUUUGACUCAAAUUUCAUCCCCAAGCUCCUGGACAAAUAGUACCACUGUCAUGUAUUUUCAGUGUCCCCCUCCCCCCUUCUACCUGUGAAGUGGAGCUCUAAUCCAGUUGCCGUAGAAAUCUGCGAACAAAAGAUACAUGACAGCAUCCAGCACGGUGGCUGCUGCCUAAAUUAGCCUCACCCUUCAUCUCCCAGUGCUGAGCUAUUCUUUACACUAGAUACAGGGAACUGUGGGAGUUCUUAAAUAACAAGUCAUCUUGUGAUGACUAUGCAUGAUCUCUUAGGGCAGGCAAUUCCUUCUGCAGACAACUGGGUGUAUUUAUCACAAGCUCUCCUUUAUAAUUCCAUCAGGAACAGUAGCUUCUCACUUCAAGUCCACCUUUCUGGAAGACUCACUGUUGACCAUAUGACCUGCCUAUAGAUAUGCAUAUUUGAAAUAAGUAACAAAUGAUAAUGUGUUUGAUACUGACUUGCCUU
rnacentral:sRNA from 1 species